rnacentral:rRNA from 1 species
CUUGCCUUCUUUGCUGGCGACCGGCGCACGGGUGAGUAACACGUAUCCAACCUGCCCUUUACUCGGGGAUAGCCUUUCGAAAGAAAGAUUAAUACCCGAUAGCAUAAUGAUUCCGCAUGGUUUCAUUAUUAAAGGAUUCCGGUAAAGGAUGGGGAUGCGUUCCAUUAGGUUGUUGGUGGGGUAACGGCCCACCAAGCCUUCGAUGGAUAGGGGUUCUGAGAGGAAGGUCCCCCACAUUGGAACUGAGACACGGUCCAA